rnacentral:rRNA from 1 species
CGUACACUCCUGCGGGAGGCAGCAGUGGGGAAUAUUGGACAAUGGGCGCAAGCCUGAUCCAGCCAUGCCGCGUGAGUGAUGAAGGCCCUAGGGUUGUAAAGCUCUUUCACCGGUGAAGAUAAUGACGGUAACCGGAGAAGAAGCCCCGGCUAACUUCGUGCCAGCAGCCGCGGUAAUACGAAGGGGGCUAGCGUUGUUCGGAUUUACUGGGCGUAAAGCGCACGUAGGCGGACUAUUAAGUCAGGGGUGAAAUCCCGGGGCUCAACCCCGGAACUGCCUUUGAUACUGGUAGUCUUGAGUUCGAGAGAGGUGAGUGGAAUUCCGAGUGUAGAGGUGAAAUUCGUAGAUAUUCGGAGGAACACCAGUGGCGAAGGCGGCUCACUGGCUCGAUACUGACGCUGAGGUGCGAAAGCGUGGGGAGCAAACAGGAUUAGAAACCCUAGUAGUCCCAU